GAGUUUGAUCAUGGCUCAGAACGAACGCUAGCGGCGUGCUUAACACAUGCAAGUCGUACGAGAAAUCCCGGGCAACUGGGAGAGUAAAGUGGCGCACGGGUGAGUAACACGUGGGUAAUCUACCUUGGAGUUUGGAAUAACACCUCGAAAGGGGUGCUAAUACCGAAUAUCGUCCCUGGAGUUUCGGCCCUAGGGAUGAAAGAUGGCUGAGGCUUGCAAGCUAUUGCUCCAAGAUGAGCCCGCGUACCAUUAGCUAGUUGGUGGGGUAAUGGCCCACCAAGGCUAUGAUGGUUAGCUGGUCUGAGAGGAUGGCCAGCCACACUGGAACUGAGAUACGGUCCAGACUCCUACGGGAGGCAGCAGUGAGGAAUCUUGCGCAAUGGGGGCAACCCUGACGCAGCAACGCCGCGUGAGUGAUGAAGGCCUUCGGGUCGUAAAGCUCUGUCAGGCGGGAAGAAAGUUUUCAGGGUGAACAAUCCUGGAGAUUGACGGUACCGUCAAAGGAAGCACCGGCUAACUCCGUGCCAGCAGCCGCGGUAAUACGGAGGGUGCAAGCGUUGUUCGGAAUUAUUGGGCGUAAAGAGCGUGUAGGCGGCCUCGUAAGUCAGAUGUGAAAGCCCUUGGCUUAACCAAGGAAGGGCAUUUGAAACUGCUUGGCUUGAG
rnacentral:rRNA from 1 species